rnacentral:rRNA from 1 species
AUACGGAGGGUGCAAGCGUUGUCCGGAUUUAUUGGGUUUAAAGGGUGCGUAGGUGGUUUUUUAAGUCAGUGGUGAAAGCCUACAGCUUAACUGUAGAGAUGCCAUUGAAACUGGAAGACUUGAGUAUGGACGAGGUAGGCGGAAUUUGUGGUGUAGCGGUGAAGUGCAUAGAUACCACAAAGAACACCGAUAGCGAAGGCAGCUUACUAGGCCAUAACUGACACUGAGGCACGAAAGUGUGGGGAGCGAACAGGAUUAGAUACCCUAGUAGUCC